GAACAAAAGUUUGUCAAGUUAGCCAAGGAACUUGCCCAUGAACCAUGUAAAGGGGUUCUCUGUACACUUGAGAGACCCCCUUCCAAGGACAUAGGCAAGUCAUCCUUGGCUACCAAACAAACUCUUGC
rfam:Nelumbo nucifera unplaced genomic scaffold scaffold00042, whole genome shotgun sequence